UGUUACAGACUUUCCUUUGUCGAGGAAUAAGUCAUUCUAAUGCUCCAGAUUAGAACAAGACGCAUUAAUUGACAAAUUUCAAUCAACUCCAUCGAGUGAUCAUGAGUGUAUUAUAGGGCCCCUUUUCGAUCUCUACCACGAAUACAACCAGCAAUUAUACGCGUCCUUAUCCAAGGGGUCAUCGCGAGAUCGCUAAAUGGUAAAAGUUGCGCGUAACAACGUGUAGCGUUAGUCGAUACGCAGAAAGUAAAAUGAAAAUGGAAAGUGGACGUUAAACUAAUUCCAAACGGACGCCUCUUCGACGUCGGUGAAUAUAAAUCAUUGCGUGCGCGAACGAUACGCCAAGACAACGCGAUGCGUUGCUUCUCUGUUAACUAUGUACUUUUUCUUUCGCUAAUUCGACGAAGAAACUCCGUUCAGGAAUCCAAUGAAAACGCUCGAAGCGUGCGACGUCGAAGAUAGGAUUAACGAAAGAAUGCGGUGCAUUUGAUAAACAAGGGCCAGUUAGGCGCCUGCAGAUGUGUUACACUUUCGAGGCAAGAAGAAUUUCUGCUGCGAAAGUGGAAGAGGGAUCUCUUUGUGGAGUACAGAACAAAUCUCUUGUUUUCUGCAAGAGGCCAAGGAUUAA